GUAGGUGUAGCUCAGUCGUAGAGUACUUGCCUAUUAUGUGCAAAGCCCUGGAUUUGACUCCCAGCAACAACA
rnacentral:tRNA from 1 species